rnacentral:rRNA from 1 species
AGUGAACGCUGGCGGUAGGCCUAACACAUGCAAGUCGAACGGCAGCACAGGAGAGCUUGCUCUCUGGGUGGCGAGUGGCGGACGGGUGAGGAAUACAUCGGAAUCUACUUUUUCGUGGGGGAUAACGUAGGGAAACUUACGCUAAUACCGCAUACGACCUACGGGUGAAAGCAGGGGAUCUUCGGACCUUGCGCGAUUGAAUGAGCCGAUGUCGGAUUAGUUAGUUGGCGGGGUAAAGGCCCACCAAGGCGAAGAUCCGUAGCUGGUCUGAGAGGAUGAGCAGCCACACUGGAACUGAGACACGGUCCAGGCUCCUACGGGAGGCAGCAGUGGGGAAUAUUGGACAAUGGGCGCAAGCCUGAUCCAGCCAUACCGCGUGGGUGAAGAAGGCCUUCGGGUUGUAAAGCCCUUUUGUUGGGAAAGAAAUCCAGCUGGUUAAUACCCGGUUGGGAUGACGGUACCCAAAGAAUAAGCACCGGCUAACUUCGUGCCAGCAGCCGCAGUAA